rnacentral:rRNA from 2 species
GAGUCUUAAUUGGGCGUUAAGUUGCAGGGUAUAGACCCGAAACCCGGUGAUCUAGCCAUGGGCAGGUUGAAGGUUGGGUAACACUAACUGGAGGACCGAACCGACUAAUGUUGAAAAAUUAGCGGAUGACCUGUGGCUGGGGGUGAAAGGCCAAUCAAACCGGGAGAUAGCUGGUUCUCCCCGAAAGCUAUUUAGGUAGCGCCUCGUGAAUUCAUCUCCGGGGGUAGAGCACUGUUUCGGCUAGGGGGCCAUCCCGGCUUACCAACCCGAUGCAAACUGCGAAUACCGGAGAAUGUUAUCACGGGAGACACACGGCGGGUGCUAACGUCCGUCGUGAAGAGGGAAACAACCCAGACCGCCAGCUAAGGUCCCAAAGUCAUGGUUAAGUGGGAAACGAUGUGGGAAGGCCCAGACAGCCAGGAUGUUGGCUUAGAAGCAGCCAUCAUUUAAAGAAAGCGUAAUAGCUCACUGGUCGAGUCGGCCUGCGCGGAAGAUGUAACGGGGCUAAACCAUGCACCGAAGCUGCGGCAGCGACACUGUGUGUUGUUGGGUAGGGGAGCGUUCUGUAAGCCUGCGAAGGUGGCCUGUGAGGGUUGCUGGAGGUAUCAGAAGUGCGAAUGCUGACAUAAGUAACGAUAAAGCGGGUGAAAAGCCCGCUCGCCGGAAGACCAAGGGUUCCUGUCCAACGUUAAUCGGGGCAGGGUGAGUCGACCCCUAAGGCGAGGCCGAAAGGCGUAGUCGAUGGGAAACGGGUUAAUAUUCCCGUACUUGGUGUUACUGCGAAGGGGGGACGGAGAAGGCUAUGUUGGCCGGGCGACGGUUGUCCCGGUUUAAGCGUGUAGGUGUGUGUUCCAGGUAAAUCCGGUUCACUUUAACACUGAGGCGUGACGACGAGGCACUACGGUGCUGAAGCAACAAAUGCCCUGCUUCCAGGAAAAGCCUCUAAGCAUCAGGUAACAUCAAAUCGUACCCCAAACCGACACAGGUGGUCAGGUAGAGAAUACCAAGGCGCUUGAGAGAACUCGGGUGAAGGAACUAGGCAAAAUGGUGCCGUAACUUCGGGAGAAGGCACGCUGACACGUAGGUGAAGUGAUUUACUCAUGGAGCUGAAGUCAGUCGAAGAUACCAGCUGGCUGCAACUGUUUAUUAAAAACACAGCACUGUGCAAACACGAAAGUGGACGUAUACGGUGUGACGCCUGCCCGGUGCCGGAAGGUUAAUUGAUGGGGUCAGCGCAAGCGAAGCUCCUGAUCGAAGCCCCGGUAAACGGCGGCCGUAACUAUAACGGUCCUAAGGUAGCGAAAUUCCUUGUCGGGUAAGUUCCGACCUGCACGAAUGGCGUAAUGAUGGCCAGGCUGUCUCCACCCGAGACUCAGUGAAAUUGAACUCGCUGUGAAGAUGCAGUGUACCCGCGGCAAGACGGAAAGACCCCGUGAACCUUUACUAUAGCUUGACACUGAACAUUGAGCCUUGAUGUGUAGGAUAGGUGGGAGGCUUUGAAGUGUGGACGCCAGUCUGCAUGGAGCCGACCUUGAAAUACCACCCUUUAAUGUUUGAUGUUCUAACGUGGACCCGUUACCCGGGUUGCGGACAGUGUCUGGUGGGUAGUUUGACUGGGGCGGUCUCCUCCUAAAGAGUAACGGAGGAGCACGAAGGUUGGCUAAUCCUGGUCGGACAUCAGGAGGUUAGUGCAAUGGCAUAAGCCAGCUUGACUGCGAGCGUGACGGCGCGAGCAGGUGCGAAAGCAGGUCAUAGUGAUCCGGUGGUUCUGAAUGGAAGGGCCAUCGCUCAACGGAUAAAAGGUACUCCGGGGAUAACAGGCUGAUACCGCCCAAGAGUUCAUAUCGACGGCGGUGUUUGGCACCUCGAUGUCGGCUCAUCACAUCCUGGGGCUGAAGUAGGUCCCAAGGGUAUGGCUGUUCGCCAUUUAAAGUGGUACGCGAGCUGGGUUUAGAACGUCGUGAGACAGUUCGGUCCCUAUCUGCCGUGGGCGCUGGAGAACUGAGGGGGGCUGCUCCUAGUACGAGAGGACCGGAGUGGACGCAUCACUGGUGUUCGGGUUGUCAUGCCAAUGGCACUGCCCGGUAGCUAAAUGCGGAAGAGAUAAGUGCUGAAAGCAUCUAAGCACGAAACUUGCCCCGAG